CUGCACCCGGAGAUACACAGCCUCUGCCCUUACCAGUUCAAGAUGAGGAAGCAGCGGCUAACUCGACUGAGCGAAGAGCGUGGCCGGCAGGAAGCACACUUACCCUCUGGAAUAGCCACCGCUCUGAUACAGGAAUCCAGGCUUGCUCCUCACCCAGGCCAUUCUCUGUCAUGUUAGGACCAUCAGACUCCAGGCCUCCAUCCAUGACAGUCCGGUCUUCAUCAGUGCGGCGGCGGCGGGAACGGCGACGGCGGGCACUUGCUGGAGGGGGUUCACCAGGCUCUGAAUCAACUGGGGGCUCUGGUUCUGAUGUGUCCAAUAGGCUGUAAGGAUUGCUGUCUGGAUCCUUUAGCACUGACGAGAGGAAGGAAGAGGCUGGGAGUCAGGGGACCACUAUUCUCUCCUUUGGACCACAAAUCUGACCCCAGCUCUCUACCUGAGCUAAUAGAGGACGAGUUAUAUCUUGAGGUAGGCCGGGGAACAGGUGGGGGUCCCCUUCCCCGGCCCCCAAUCGGCCGCCUCCGGCUUUCUUCUCCACGACUUGGGUGAUCUCGGUCACCAGGUCCUGCUCGAUUAGACUCCUCUCUUUUUUCUGACUCUGUCUCAGAAGCUGUGGAUGGGUCUGAGCUGGGGCCUGAAGGAUACAGAAGAGUUUAUUCGGAGCUGCUGCUGCUUGCCCUAGGAAUUCAGCCACCUCCACAGGCAAACCAGAAUUCUUCCUAUCACUCACAAGCACCCAAGUCAGUCACUUCCUCACUGCUUUUCCCAGUCUCCACCCAAUCACCCGUGCCCCACACUGCUCCACAGCUGCUCACCAUAGGCAGCACCAGCAGUCCUCCGGCCCCGGCCUCGGCCCCCGUAGCUGCCCCCGUAGGUUCUGGUCGCAUGCAGGGAGGAGGAGGAGCUCUCAUCUGUGGUAUAGCCGGCCUUGUCACUGCCACCACCACUGCCGCCCCGUCCACUUCCAGGUGGGCGAAAGCCCAGCCCAAUCUGCCGAAGCUGCUCAUCAAUUUGCAGUCUCUCCAAGCGAAGCUGUUCAACCUCCUGGUUGGAAAGGUGGACAACAGGAAAAUUAAGACAAUGGACAGUCCCAUUCCUUCAUGCGUCUCUAUCCAUGUGGUCCUCUGCAGCUAAGCUUUUGGGACUUAGGCUUAGGAAGACAAAGGCUUAAAAAGAACAUUUUGGGAUACAGCCCCAGAGCCAAAAUACCCACCAACAGACAGGGCAGCCAAAGCUUAUACUUAUACAGUCAAAGCUUAUACAGCAAGCUUUGCCAGCCCAGUUUACCCGUCUCCCAGGUUUCUGAAACAGUACCUGCAGGUAGGAAAGGUGAUACUCUAGCAGGGCCUGGGCAUUACUGAUGUUCUCUCGGGUGCCAACAAAUAUGAAGGGAACCAUUCCCUGCAGAAAAGACCAGAAGCAAGCUUAGAAGUCAGUAAGGUGUGAAGACACACGUGACCUUAGCACGCAGGAACUAGACACAGGAGCAGAAUGAACUUAAAGCCAUCCCUAGCUACUCAGUAAAGUGAAGUUCAACCUGAGCCACGUGAGAUUCUGUCUCAAAAAUUACUACCUCCCACUUUCAAAGACAGGCGUGGUGGCGCAUACUUUUAGCCCCACACUGGGGAGGCUGAGGUAGGCAGGUCUCUGUCAACUGAGUUUAAGGCCGGCCUGGUUCACAAAGUAAGUUCCAGGCAAGUCAGGGCUAUAUAUUGAGUCCCUAUUUGGAAAAAAAAAAAAAAAAAAAACAACAAAGAAAACCAAAAA